GACGAACGCUGGCGGCGUGCUUAACACAUGCAAGUCGAACGGUGAAGCUCCAGCUUGCUGGAGUGGAUCAGUGGCGAACGGGUGAGUAACACGUGAGCAACCUGCCCCUGACUCUGGAAUAAGCGCUGGAAACGGCGUCUAAUACUGGAUACGAGAAGGGUCCGCAUGGGCACUUUCUGUAAAGUUUUUCGGUUGGGGAUGGGCUCGCGGCCUAUCAGCUUGUUGGUGAGGUAGUGGCUCACCAAGGCGACGACGGGUAGCCGGCCUGAGAGGGCGACCGGCCACACUGGGACUGAGACACGGCGCAGACUCCUACGGGAGGCAGCAGUGGGGAAUAUUGCACAAUGGGCGCAAGCCUGAUGCAGAGACGCCGCGUGAGGGAUGACGGCCUUCGGGUUGUAAACCUCUUUCAGCAGGGAAGAAGCGAAAGUGACGGUACCUGCAGAAGAAGCAACGGCUAACUACGUG
rnacentral:rRNA from 1 species